GGAUUAGAUACCCUGGUAGUCCACGCCGUAAACUAUCAUUACUCGAUUUAUAUACUUUUGUAUGUGAGUCCAAGCGAAAGCGUCAAGUAAUCCGCCUGGGGACUACGAUCGCAAGAUUGAAACUCAAAGGAAUUGACGGGGACCCGCACAAGCGGUGGAACAUGUGGUUUAAUUCGAUGAUACGCGAAGAACCUUACCUGGGUUUGACAUGUUAGUGAAAGUUUUCUGAAAAGAAUUCCCUUUAAGAGCUUGCUCUUAAACACUAUCACAGGUGGUGCAUGGCUGUCGUCAGCUCGUGCCG
rnacentral:rRNA from 1 species